AUUUAGGAUUUAUUAGGAUUAAGAUAUGAUUAAGGAUUUAGUUUAGGAUUUAGGAUUUAGGAUUUGGUUUAGGAUUUGAUUUAAGAUUUAGAGUUUGAUUUAGGAUUUAGAUUAGGAUUUAGGGUUUGGUUUAGAAUUUGAUUUAGGAUUUAGGAUUUGGAUUAGGAUUUGGAUUAGGUUUUAGGAUUUGGUUUAGAAUUUGAUUUAGGAUUUAGGAUUUGGAUUAGGAUUUGGAUUAGGGUUGGAUUAGGAUUUAGGGUUUGAUUUAGGAUUUGGUUAGGGAUUGAUUUAAGAUUUAGGAUUUGAUUAAGGUUUGAUUAGGAUUUGGUUUAGGAUUUAGGGUUUAUUUAGAAUUUGAUUAAGGUUUGAUUAAGAUUAGGGAUUGGUUAGAUUUUAAGGUUUUAUUAGAUUUUUGUUAGGAUUUGACUAAAUUUUCUUUAAUAUUCUUUUAUAUUUCUUUAGAAUUUCCUUGUAUUUCUUUUAUAACUUCAAUAAAAUUUAAUUAAGCUUGCUUAAUAUUUGAUUAUGAUUAUUAAAAUUUAAUUAUAAAUUCUCUAUAAUCCUAUUAGAUUGUUAAGACCUUUUGUUGUAAUUUUCUUUUACCUUCCACAGUCAAGUACCUGAUGCAUUCUCAAGUAAGACUUCACGUAAUACAACAUAUUUGGUGAACUCGACGUGAAAAACUUGAGGUGUGAGGUAUAUGAAGUUUCUUUAAUCUAUUUGGGUUAUGGAGAAGGAAGGCAAGAGAAUGGAAAGAGGAGCUUUUGGUGGUGCUUCAAGUGGAGUUGGAAGUGGAGCUUCAAUUGAAAGAUAAGGUAUGUAUUUUGAUCCCAACUCUGCAAGCAUGUUUGAGACAUUGGUCUUAUUCAUCCAACAACAACAGAUUAAGGAUUGCAAAGAGGGCAUGGCAGAUAAAGCAUUGCAAGCUGUUGUAGACAAGAUUGAUCAAUUUGAAGGGAAGGAUAUUACAAAAUAUUUAAGGUGUUACGUAAAGGAAAUAGAAUUGAAGCAUGUUCAAAGAAGGAGAUGUCNNNNNNNNNNNNNNNNNNNNNNNNNNNNNNNNNNNNNNNNNNNNNNNNNNNNNNNNNNNNNNNNNNNNNNNNNNNNNNNNNNNNNNNNNNNNNNNNNNNNUUGCAAGAGAAGUUGAAAUUUUGCUGAAAGAUAAGAAGAAGUUGAAGGAUUGAUUCAAAUUGGGAGAAAGUAGAAGAGGCGAUUGGAGUGCUUGCAAAAAGAGAAAGGAGAAAAGAUAGGGUAGAAAUUCAAAGACCAUUGCAAGCAUCUAAAGGAAAAAUACCUGCUAUCUAUCUUACAUCUACGAUUCAACCUUCAAUGGCAACAUCAAAGAGAGAAGAAAUGGGCAUUGAUGAAAUCAUACGAGAGAUGAGAGAUUUGUAAAUAAAAUUUGCAAAACUUGAAGAGAUGGGUCAAUCAUCAAGAAUAUCAACAAGACAAAAUUUAAGACCAAUAGAAAGUAUGGUACAUAGGUGCAUGUGGUGUGAUAGCAUAGAUCAUUCAAGAAGGGAAUGUGAGGAUUUUUCAAAGGUGCUACACAAAAGAGUUGUUUUUUUUAAAGAUGGUAUGAUACACUUAAAAGAGGGUGGAGAAAAAUUAGAGACAAAUUUUGGUAAAGGGGGAAUGAAGGUGUUUGUAGGAAUUGCUUUCAAGGUGCAUACAACUUUAAGCAAUGAAGCAUUAAUAUUUUGGAUGGAGGCAAAUUCAAGCAAAUGCUUAAGUAUAAAUCUUGAGCAUCUAGGAAAAUCUAGUUCUUUAUAGUCAAGUACAAUGAGUUAUGCUGAAAAGAGAAAUUUUACUCGAGAUGAUCUAAAACAUGUUGGCAAUAACAUUCGGCAAAUUACUAGGUGGGAUGAUCCAGUAGAUAGAUUAUCAGUUCAUGUUCAUAUUGCAAGGAGUCAACAUGAAGUAUUAAUAGAAGAAAAAUGAAGGAGAAACAAAAAUCAUGAAGGGCCAUCAAAAAGAAUCACAAGGGGAGAUAAAACUUGACAAUAGAAGAAUCCUAUGCAUGAAGAGACAAUAGAGAAUAUUUCUAUAAAGGAGAGGGAGAUUGUGAAAGAAAAAGUAAAGGUUCUUGCUUAUAAAUUAUAAUCAAAUAUUGAAGCUGCUACAGAUUUGAAGAAAAUAUUGGAGGAGCGGAUUUUAAGUGAAAAGGUUGAAUUUACAAUUGGUGAAAUUUUAGGAAUUACAAAAUGAGAAUUUUAUGAAGUUAUUAUUGAUACAAUAAAAAAAAAAAUGGAAAUCUAUUGGUGAUACUAUGACAUCAAAUGCACAAGGUACAAAAGCAAUAGGAAGCAAUGAAGAUGAAGAAAUUGAAAUGCAAAUUGUUGGAGAUGUUUCACGAGUCAAAUUUACAAGAAAAGAAGAUAUGAUUCAAGCUUCUUGUCAUUAUUCUUGGAGUCAUUGGACAAGGGCUACUACGAAAACUUUAAUAAAAUUGAGAGAUUUAGAAGAACCAAUUGUAGCAUUGAUUGAUCAUGGUUCUGAAAUAAAUUUAAUGACAAUAGAAUUAUGUAAAAAGAAAAAUUGGCCUAUUGAUAUUGAGUAUGGAUGGAUGAUAAGAGCAGCAAAUAAUUCAAAGGAGGAUUUGUAUAGAGCUUGUGCAAAUAUCAAGGUGACAAUAGGAGAUGUUAUUUAUGAAUAAAAUUUCUUUGUGUAAGAUAUGUCUACAUAUCCUAUUAUAUUAGGACAACCAUAUAUUACUGCCACACAAAUGGAGAUAAAGGUUAUGGAUGAUAGAUCAGCUUAUGUAAGGAUAAGAAGUCAAGAUGGAAAGAGGGUACCUGGUAUCAAUUGUAUAAUUUUUAACAGUUUGUGUAAAUCAUGGAAGAAAUAGGGAUAGUUUGAGGGAACAUCCUUUGCCAAAGAUACAUAAAGAAUUUGAAGAUAUUGAAGACUCAAAAUAUUUCUACUAGACGCCAUUGUAAAGCGAGAUUACAAUAGUAAAAAGAGUGAAGGCUUUCCAUCUAAUAGAAAGGAUGAAGACGUUGUAGGAUUAUCAUGAGACGGAUAUAUUUUAUUCAAAAACAUAAAUAAUUUUAGUAGGAUAGAUAAGAAAAAUAUUAAGAAUGUAGAAAAGGGAUUAAAGAAAUGUGAAAUGAUUGAUGAAGAUGAAUACAUAUCAGGGAUGUUUGAAGAAUCUUAUUUUAGUGAUACUAUGAAUGAUUUAUAAAUAUUAUUGAAUGGAGAUUUUGAAAGAGGAGAUGAAGUAAUAAAUAUCCAUUCUAAAUAAUUUUAUGAUGGAAUAAAAGAAUAUAUGGAUAGGUAUGAAGUGAAGGUGAACACAAAAUACAAGACUGUUGCAAGGAAGGUUAAACCAUUGGCAUUGCCACUACCAUCGGAUUUUGAAGAAAGGAUUAAAGAGGCUUCUAUGUAACCUAAUUUAAGAGAUCCAAGAAAAAUAGGUCAUGAAUUCAAGGAUAAUUUGACGUUAGAUGGUUUAAAAAUUGGAUGUGAUAAAUUUUUGACAAGAGAUGAGGAGAGAUGUUUUGAAGAAAUACUUUCACGACAUGGUAAAGCAUUUGUAUUUGAAUUACAUGAAAUAAGGUGCAUUGAUCCGAAUAUUGUAUUACCUAUGGUUAUUUUUACAAUUCUGCAUGAACCAUGGAAUUUGAGGCCAAUUUCAGUUCCAAAGGCCCAUUUGUCAAAGCUAGUUGAAUUAUUCAAUGAAAAAAUUAAGAUGAAAAUUUUAGAACCAUCUACUGCACCAUAUUUCAAUUGGUGGUUCAUAGUAUCUAAGAAAAAUAGAACAUUGAGGUUUAUUCAAGAUAUGCAACUGGUACAUAAAAUAACUAUUAGAAACAUGGGCUCGAGUCCAAUUGUGGAUGAGUUUGCAAAGGCAUUUGCAGGGAGAUAAAUUUAUUCUAUGGAAGAUCUUUACUCAGGAUAUGAUCAAUUUCAAUUAGCAAUGCAAAGUAGAGAUUUGGCAACUAUGAAGACACCAUUGGAAUUGGUCAAAAUGUGUACAUUACCACAAGGGACCACAAAUUCUGUGGCACACAUAAUGAAUGGAAUGUAUAAGAUACUAAGAGAUUUUAUUGCAAGAAUAACAAUGCCUUUUCUAGAUGAUGUGCCAAUUAAGGGAUGUGAAGAAGAAAGAAAGGAUGAGACAUUGAAUUCAAAGGGAUGUAAGAAGUUUGUGGCAGAUCAUAUUGAUGAUUGUGAGAAGAUUUUCACAAGGCUAGAAGAAGUUCAUUUAACCUUAUUGGGAACAAAAUCAAUAUUUGGAAUAAAAGAAGUUUUGGUAGUAGGACACAUAUAUAGUUCAUAUGGAUACAAACCAAGUAGGAAAAAAAUUGAUAUUAUAAAAAAAAUGAAAGAGUGUACAAAUAUAAUGAAAGUCAGGAGGUUUUUAGGAGCAUGUAUUUUCUAUCAUAUAUGGAUACCUCAUUUUGUACAUAUAGCAGAUCCAUUAUAUGAGUUGUUACGAAAGAAUCAAAAAUUUCAAUGGAAAGAAAAACAAAGAAAAGCUAUGGAAAAGUUAAAAGAAUUUCUUUCUUCACCUCCAACUUUAAAGAAAGUAAAUUAUGAAUGUGGAAGGCCAGUAAUAUUAAUAGUUGAUGUAAUAGGUUGGAUAGUUGGACAAGAUGAUGAACAAGGGAAUAGAUAUGUAGUAAGGUUUAGAGCAAAGGUUUUGAAUGCUAGACAAAGGAUAUAUGCACAAAUCAAAAGAGAAUUAUGGAGUAUAGUAAUAGCUAUGAAAAAUGAAAGAGAGUAUUUAAUUGGUGCAUCAGUAGUUGUAGAAACAGAUUGUCUACCUUUAUUGGGUAUGAUUACAAGUUGUUCAAAUUCCGAUAUUGCUAUGUUAAGGUGGAUGGUAUAUAUAAAAUCUAUAAAUUCAAAAUUUAAAUAUAUUAUAGAAGAAGAAAAUUCAGUUGCAGAUAUGUUAUCAAGAGCAAGGUAUUACGAUGAAGAAGAUAUGAUAGAUUUAAAAGAUGAUGUAGAUACAAAUUUUUAUACUAAUGCAUUAUCAAAGGAAGAAAGUAUAUGUUUGAAUAUACUAUUAGAAAAAUUUUCAAGAGAUCUAUAUGAAGAAGAAUGGAAAGACAUUGGAGAGUAUUUAAGUACAUUAAAGCGACAAGAUGGUUGGACAGAUCAAGAAUUUAAGAAAAUCCAAAAGAAAGCCUAUGGAUAUUUUUUACACGAUAGAUAUUUAUGGAAGCAUCCAAAAAAAAGAGGAGAAGUACUACAAAGGAUGAUAUGUCGUUUAGAAGCUCAACAAAGGAUUAUUAAAGAAUUUCAUGAAAAUUUAUGGAUAGGACAUCGAGGUAUGUAAGUAGCAUUCACUAAGUUAAGAAAAAAAUAUUGAUGGAAGGGAAUGUACAAAGACAUAGCAAAAUUUGUAGAAUCUUGUGAGACUUGCUAAGUAUAUUCAAAUAUUUGGCAUCGAGAUAGAUUACAUCCAACAUACCCUUUGGCUUUACAUUACAAGUGGGUGGUGGAUUUAAUGGCAAUGCCUAUGGGACUUGGACAAAUGAAGUAUUUGGUACUUGCACAAGAAGAUUUAUCAAAUAUGGUUGAAGGACAAGCAUUAAGAACAAAAGAUACUAAAGGUGUAUGUCGAUUUCUAUUAGAAGAAGUUAUUUAUCACUAUGGUUGUAUUGGAAAAAUUAUUGUAGAUAGAGGUGAAUUGGAUGCAAAAGAAGAACGAGAAUUCUUUAGUAGGAUAGGAAUUAAACUUUCUUUAACAACAACAUAUAAUCCAGAAGGUAAUGGUAAAAGUAAGCAUGGGCAUUCACCUAUUGUUAAGGCAUUAGUAAAGGCAUGUAAUGGCAAGAUAAGUGAUUGACCUAAAUUAUUAUCAUUUACAUUAUAGGCGGAUCGCACAACUCAUAAUACGGUUACAAGAUACAUGCCAGCAGAAUUGAUGUAUGGUCAAAAACUGGUAAUGCCAAUAGAAGAGGUUGUAUCAACAUGGGCUAUAUUACCUUGGGAAGAUGGUUUAACAAGAGAAGAGUUAUUGGCAUUACGAAUUCGACAACUUGAAAGAAGGCCCGAGGACAUUGAAGUAGCUAUGAGAAAGUUGAAAGAAGCAAGAGAAAAAAAUAAAGAGAGGUUUGACAAAAAGCAUUGAUUGCGUCCAAAACCAAUUCAAAAUGGUGAUUGGAUGUUGGUUUAUGAUAGUAGUUUGGACAACCAACAUAGUAUGGCAAAGAAAUUUACAAGGAGAUGUUUUGGACCUUAUGUUGUCAAACAAGUGCACGAGAAUGGAACAUACUUGUUGUAGAAUAAGUAGUUAUUUUCAAAAUAUAGAUACCUAGUGUAUAGAGUAAACAGAGAUAGAUAACUGCUGAAAAGGUGGUUCAAUAGGUAGAAUAGAUGAAUAGUCGGAAAAAGUAGUUAUCAUUUGUAGUAUAGGAAUUGGUAUCUCGGGGUAGUAUAAGGAGGAUGGGAGAGGGGAAGAAAAUGCCAGACUGUGAGAGUUGUAAGCCGAGGACUAAACUGUGAGAGUUAUAAGCCGAGGGCCAGACUGUGAAAGUCAUAAGCCGAGGGCCAGACUGUGAGAAUUGUAAGCCGAGGGCCAGACUGUGAGAGUUGUAAGCCGAGGACCAGACUAUGAGAGUCGUAAGCCGAGGGCCAGACUGUGAGAGUUGUAAGCCGAGGACCAGACUAUGAGAGUCGUAAGCCGAGGGCCAGACUGUGAGAGUUGUAAGCCGAGGGCCAGACUGUGAGAGUCAUAAGCCGAGGGCAAGAUUGUGAGAAUUGUAAGUCGAGGGCCAAACUGUGAGAGUCGUAAGCCGAGGGCCAGACUGUGAGAAUUGUAAGCCGAGGGCCAGACUAUGAGAGUUGUAAGCCGAGGGCUAGACUGUAAGAGUUGUGAGCCGAGGUAAGCUUGGUGCUACCUCUUUUCUUUUAUUUGUUAUUUUCUUUGAAUAAGAGGAUUGAAAGUUUUUUAAUAUUGUGAAGUGAAUUAUGGAAUGGAAAUGUGAUUGAUAUUAUUUGAGAAGAAGAAAGAUUGAAUGUUGAAAUCUGAUUGUAGUUCAGCAGAGAGAAUGAGUCUGUAUUUGUGUGAAACAUUGUAAUGUGAAUGGUAGUUCUAUGUGAAAGAAAUUGCCAUCCAUCGCGAGUGCUCUUGGCAAUUUUUUUAACUGUGAGAGUUGUAAGCCGAGGGCCAGACUGUAAGAGUCGUAAGCUGAGGGUCAGACUGUGAAAGUCGUAAGCCGAGGGCCAGACUGUGAGAGAUGUAAGCCGAGGGCCAAACUGUGAGAGUCGUAAGCCGAGGGCCAGACUGUGAAAGUCGUAAGCCGAGGGCCAGACUGUGAGAGUUGUAAGCCGAGGGCCAAACUGUGAGUUGUGAGCCGGGAUAAGCUUGGUGCUACCUCUUUUUUUUUGUUUGUUAUUUUCUUUGAAUUAGAGGAUUGAAAGUUUCUGAAUAUUAUGAAGUGAAUUAUGGAAUGGAAAUGUGAUUGGUAUUAUUUGAGAAGAAGAAAGAUUGAAUGCUGAAAUCUGAUUGUAGUUCAGUAGAGAGAAUGAGUCUGUGUUUGUGUGAAAUACUGUAAUGUGAAUGGUAGUUCUGUGUGAAGAAUUCCAGUGAUUGGAAUGAGAGUAAUUGUGUGUUGAAAGUUGUGAGGGUGCAGUAUUACAGUUGGAGAUUAUGAGGGUGAAUAUAUUGGUGGAAAUAGUAAUUAUUGGUAUAAUUGAAUUGCUGUAAGGAAGAGACCAAUAAGGUGAAGGAGGAGAUAAUAGUUUCCUUGUGUGUUCAGAUAUUGGAAAUAGAGACGAUACAUUCAGGAGGUAAUUGAUUGUUUGACCCCAACAUGAAUGCUUAAGCAACUAGUCAUUCCCUGUGUUCGAAUCCCCCUAUACGGGUUUAUGCUGGGAGGUUUCUUCUGAAAUAAAACGAACAAUCACACUUAUUAUGACAACUGGAUGGUACAAAUUUAAAGAUACCAAUAGCAGGCAAGUAAAUCAAAUUAUUUAAUCAAAGAGGUAAAGACAUUUGUUUUGAUAAAGAAUAAAAUCUAAUAGGAGAUAUUGAGAUGGAAGAAAAAGAGCAAAAUAAAGAUCAAGAAUUUGACCAAGAUGAAGAACAUUCGAUAUCAAUAUAAUGAAGGAACUUGGUGCAUACCAGAGGAUGCACAGAUUCAGGGAAGGUGGAUGUCAUAAUGUAACACAGUUAAUAAGUGAAAGGAUGAAGAAAAUAUCAUGUUUUGAUGAUCUCACUUCAAAAAUAUUAUACCAAAUUAUCUUGGAAAAAUAAAUAUUAGUCAAAGGAUAGAAAAAUUAAAGGUGUUAAUGCUACUUUUUUACAAAUCAUGCUUCUAUUUACUUUGUAAGGCCAUAAAUAAGACAAAACAAGGUAGAUUAGAAAAAUAAAAGAUAUAAGCAUAUGUAGGGAGGAUUUAAGAAUGAACAUUAGUAAAAAUUACCUCAAAAAGAUGAAAGUUGAUAUCCAAAGAGGACCGGUUAUGAACCUAGGUCGAAAUCAAACCCCAAGUCACAAAACUAUGCUCUGACAGCAACUCAAGGGUUCUUUGGAGAGAUCGGAGAGCCGAAUGAAAGAGAAGUCUUAUGGAGGGAUUUUUGAAAGGUGAUUUCAUGUCGUUUGGAUUAGUAUUGGAUUUUUGAGGAAUUUUCAAAGCAAGUGAUGUUCUCUGUGAAUUCAGAUCUUUGAAAAAUAAAACCAGUUUACAAAUUUUUGGAUUUCGUGUCUUUUGUAGCAUUUUUAUUUGAUUAAGAUUUGAUUAGGGUUUAAUUUAGGAUUUAGGAUUUAUUUAGGAUUUGAUUAAGGUUGGAUUAGGAUUAGGGAUUGGUUAGAAUUUAAGAUUUUAUUAGAUUUUUGUUAGGAUUUGACUAAGUUUUCUUUAAUAUUCUUUUAUAUUUCUUUAGAAUUUCCUUGUGUUUCUUUUAUAACUUCAAUAAAAUUUAAUUCAGAUUGCUUAAUAUUUGAUUAUGAUUAUUAAUGUUUAAUUAUAAAUUCUCUAUAAUCCUAUUAGAUUGUUAGGACCUUUUGUUGCAAUUUUCUUUUAUCUUUCACAGCCAGGUGCUUGGUGCAUUUUCAAGCAAGACUUCACAUAAUACGACAACGUAUUCGUCAAAGUUGGAACUAAUGCAAAUUUAUAUGAUACAUUUUAAACCUCUCACGAAGCAAGAAAAGACUUAACAUUACUAAGAAGGGUUGUAUUUAUAUUGUGGAGAAGCUAAGCACACUGCUCAAUAUUGUCUAAAGAAGCAAUGCGAUUACAAAAUGAGGAGUACAAUUAUCAAAGAAGAUAAUAUGUCGAUGUUGUGUUGUAACAUGACCAUAUGGUGAAAGAUAAUAAUAUGGAUCUUAUUAUAGAAGAGCCAAGUUAAAGAAAAAGUAGAAAAAUAUGGAUAAAAGAUAGGAAGGUAGUAAAACUUUUAGUAGUAAUGCUACGCUUUUAAAAAAAAAAAAAAAAAUCUACUUAUUUUGUAGGACCAAAAAUAAGGCAAAAUAAGGUAGAUUAAAAAAAUAAAUGAUAUAAACAUCUUUAGGAAGAAGUCAAGAGUAAAUUCUAGCAAAAAUUUCCUAAAAAAACUACAUAUUGAUCUCAAAGGACGGCUAGUUAUCAACCUAGGUCAAAAUCAGACCUUGAGGCACAAAACCGAGUACCUAUGGCAACUCGGGGGUUUCUUUGGCAAAUCAAAGAAUACGGUUUGAUAGAAAACUAUAUAGGGUUUCUAUGAGCAUUAGUUUUGGAUAAUUUGGAAUUGUUAUGACUUAUAAGAGCUUUACAAAGUCAAGAUUAUUUUUGGAUGAUUUGGAUUUUAUGAAAUAAAAUAGGAUUGAUGUUUCUAGUGAUUUCAAGAGUUUUGUAAUAGAUCUAUGAGUGAAAUUUUGUUGAUUAAUGGUUAUAGUUGUGUUUAAUAUGUAUUGUGACUCUUAGUUCGAUCUAACAGCUGAAUUAAGGAUUAUUGAGGUUUAAAUGAAUCAAGGUCUUAGAAAGUAGAAUUUUAGGUCUAGUGAGGAUUUUUAAGAUUUCUUGUAAUCUUCUAGUUUCAUUGGAGUGAAAUUUAUAUAAGAGUAUAUUAGACUUAUUUUUCUUUGUGUACAAGAAUUUUGAAAUCAAUUGAACGGUGAAAAAGAGAGAUAUUGGCUUUAAGAGAUUAGCAUGAAGGUUGGAGAAGGAGGCCAGGUAAUACUUGAGCAUGUUUUUGAGGUUAUCAUCUAUUUAAUAAUUUUGAUUCUUUUCAAAAAAAUUGUAUUUAUUUUUAACUUAGUUUUUAAAAAAUUUAUAAAAUUAGAGCUAAGAUCAAUGGUUCAUUCAUUAGUUAUUAUUAAGAACAUAGAAGUAUCAAGGAUAUGAAUUCCAAAGAAAGAUAAUCUCAAUACACUCUUGUGUCACUCAAAAACACUUAAAAAUCAUUCAAAGGUAAUAAUAUAUUGAACUAGAAUGGCUAUUGCCAAAGACUAGAAAACAUGAUGACUCUUGAAACUAGAUUGGAAAUAAGAAAGAAGUUGACAAGAGUGAAGAAGGCUUCACUCUUGUCUCUAUAUAUACUAUCUAAUUAAGGGCUAUGUGGUGACGUUCUAUAGGACCUCCAAUAUGUGUUGACUUUGUAGGACACUUGCCUUGACUUACAAGGCAAGUUUUUCUAUGUAUAGGCCAUAAAGUUAGCUUGGUCUUCAAGCUAACAACAUGUGUGGCACAUGGCCAACUUGUUGACCACGUUUCUAAUCCAAAAAGUCAAUUAAAGGCACCUAUGAAGUCAAAGCAGCAUCUAUGAAGCUUUUAGGAAGCUUCCAUACUAAAUACUAUAGAAUUAACUUAUUUUUAUCUGCUUACAUGAGUAUGUCCAUGAUAUUACUCCCCCUUCUAGGGUCGAGUUCCACGAGGAGUGGUCAUCAUAUGUUGAGAAAAUCUAUGAUGCAACAAAUUGUAUUUGCCACAUACUUUGAUCUUUAUUCUCUUCGAAGAUUAUUGAUAGGGCCUCUCAACCAUCAAUAGAAUUCCAUACCAGGGCGGGAAGACCACCCAAUUAUUUGGUCAUUGUUGAGGCCUUCAUAACUUCCUUCCAAUAAAAUAUUUAGAACACCAUCAGGAGUUGUUUCUACCUCUAGUAAAAUCACCAAACAUCGAGAGUCCCUUCUAAGAUCGUGAUACCAAAUACGUUGUAUCUUGCCAUCUAUUCAAAGAAGAACAUGUCGUUCUUGAAGAUCUUCAUCUCGAUUGUGUCAUCUUGAAGGUUGUGACAAUCAUAAUGUCUCGUCCGACAGGUCGGCAAAUGAAGGCUCUUGAGUUGAAUCCGCUCAUUGUUGUUUCUCCAUCUCUUUAGCGUCACAACUACAAAGAAGCUACAAAUAAGGAUUGAAAGUAAAAUGUUAUCUUGUCUAGAUCUUGUUUCUUUUGUAAAGAAGAUUUUUAUCUUAGUUUUGAUAGAUGUCAUUGAUAAAAGCCUCCAUCACCUUUGCUGCAUUUACAAGAUUCUUUACUGGCUUCUACGUGCAUUCACUAAUAUCAUAUCCAUGCUAAUGGAUAAGAUAUUUUAAUUUAUUUUGGCGUCGCCUUAUAUCUAAGGCUUCUUCCACUUCAAACUCUUCAUUAUUCUCCACUUCUAUCGGAGGAGAUGGAGCUUGUCUUCUUUUUGGUAUGUCCACUAUCUUGUAUGGUUUAAAAAGAGACAAGUCGAAUAUUGGAUGGAUUUUCAUUGACUUCGAUAGAUGUAAACGAUAUGCAACUGAAUUGAUUUGUACAGAAAUAGAAAAUAGUCCAAGCCUUUAAUAGUCCAAGCCUUCAAUAGUCCAACUUAUCACAAGGACGAGUGGUCUUGAUAUUGCGACGAAGUAACCAUACCUUAUCGCCCAUGUAGAAUGGUAGUUGUUCCUUUUGAUAGACAUCCGGAUUUAUCUUUUGUCAUUCUUGAGCUUCUUUUAAUUGCACCUUUAUUGUUGCAUGUGACUGUGACAACCGAUUUGCCAUAUCUUCUGCCGCAGAAUUAUCAACUUUUGAGAAAUCAAACAUGUUAAGUUGUGGAUGAUAACCAUAAUUGGAAAAAAAAGGUGUUUGUUGUGUAGAAGAAUGCACCGUAUUAUUAUAGGCAAACUCUACCAAUGGCAGAAGAGUUGUCCAAUCAUCUUAUUAAUAGUUGAUGGUACAUCUUAAGUAUUGCUCUAAGACUUGAUUUACGCGCUUUGCCUGUCCAUUAGUUUGAGGAUGAAAAGCCGAAGAUAGUUUUAUAUCCACUUGUAAAAUCUUAAAUAGGAUUCUCUAAAAUCUUCAUACAAACUUAAUUCCCAUAUCUCAUAUAAUAUCCUUAGGUAACCCAUGAUAGCGAUAGAUAUUGUCAAUAAAAAGCUUAGCUGUUUCUUCACAAGUGAUGGAUUUUGUACAUGGCAUAAAAUGUGCCAUCUUAGUGAAGCAAUAUACUAUCACAAAUAUAGAAUCAUAAAAACUUGAGCUUGGAAGAUCUAUAAUGAAGUCCAUAGAAAUAGAAGACCAUGGUUGUUCUACAAUGGAUAAUGGCUGAAGAAGUCCAAAAGGUUGAUGACAAGGAGUUUUUGAUCUUGAGCAAAUAUCACAUGAUUGUACAAAAUCUUUGACUACCUUCCACAUUUGAGGCUACCAAAAAUCCCUAGAUAUCAGCUCCAAAGUCUUAUUGUAUUCAAAAUGUCCUACUGCUAGAAAGUCAUGACAAGCUUGAAGAACUCCUAAACGUACUUCUCCUUGUGGAACAUAUAGGCGUCCUUCAAAAUAGAAUAGGUUGUUCUUGAACUCGAAUUUAGAAGGAUCAUGAGAUUUAGAAGAAUUAUUCUUGAUAUCGUAAACAAGAAAUUUUGAAGACAUACUUAACUAGACUUGCUUGAAAAAAGUUAAAUCAAUAGUCAAUAUUGAUUUUAUUGCUCGAAGAUGAAAUUACUCCGACUUCAAGAGAACCAUUCUUUGUUGCUCAAAAGCUGCAUCUCUUUCUUUUGGUGUAAGAUAAGAACGUCUAGACAAAGCAUCAGACAAACCUUGUUAUUUUCUUGAUCGAUAAGUGAUGAUGAACUCGAAUCUUAAUAAAGACAUGCUGCAAUGAGCUUGACGAUGAUUUAAUAUGCAUAUUGAUACAAAAUACUCGAGGUUCUUAUAAUCCGUAUACAUAGUGAUUGGACUUGAGGUGAAUUCUAGAUAAUGACAUCAUUCUUCAAAUGAAUCCAUAAUUGUAAGAAGCUCUUUAUCAUGGAUUUCAUAGGUAAUCUCAGUUGCUGAAAAUUUUUUAGAAUAGAAAGCUAUUGGAUGGAGCUUGUCAUCUGCUCCCAUUUGUGACAAAACGGCAUCCAAGGCAAAGUCUGAUACAUCUGUUUCCAUAAAAAAUACCUUGGAAAAGUCAACGCAAUACAAGAUUGGUAUAGAAGUAAAUUUUUUCUUUAAAGCAUCAAACGCUACUUCAGCUUCUUUACUCCACUAAAAUUUGUCUUUACAAGUCAAAUGCGUAAGUGGAGUUGCAACUUGAGAAAAGUUCUUGAUGAAGAUUUGAUAGUAAUUUACAAAGCCUAAAAAGUAUUAUACAUGUCAUACUGUUCUUGGAAUCUUCCAAUCUAUGAUAGUUUGGACCUUCUUGAGAUCCAUCAUCAAGCCUUCCUUGAAAAUGAUGUAUCCUAAAAAGUCAACUUGAGUAAUGUGGAAUACACACUUUUUCAACUUGGCAUAUAAUCUUACAUCUCUUAGUUUUUGUAACACACGACGAACAUGGAGUUUAUGUUCUUCUGUGUUCUUAGAGUAGAUUAAAAUAUUAUUUAAAUAACAAACGAUGAAAUCAUCUAAAAACUCACAAAAAAAAUCAUUUAUAAGAUGUUGAAAAGUAGUAGGUACAUUUGUGAGUCCAAAAGGCAUGAAAUUAUAUUCAAAAUAUCCAUACCUAGUUUGAAAAGUAAUCUUCUAUUCAUCUCCUUCUUUGAUGCAGACCAAGUUGUAUGCUCCUUGUAGAUCUAUUUUUGUAUAGUUCUUUGCUUGAUUGAGUUGAUCAAGAAAUCUUGAAAUCAAAGGUAAGGAAUAUCUGUUUUUGAUGGUGAUCUUGUUAAGGCCCUGAUAGUCUAUGCACAUCCUUAGAGAUCCAUCUUUUUUCUUCACAAAUAAGAUCGGUGCUCCUAUUGGAGAUUUUGAAUGGCGUAUGAAGUUUUUAGCCAAGUUCUUGUCAAUAUAUUUCUUUAGUGCAGCCAACUCGUUUUGUUAUAAGCUAUAGAUUAGUCCAAAUGGCAAUUGAGCUCUUUCUUGAAGAUCAAUUGAACAAUGAUAAGGUCGAUGUUCUGAAAGAAUAUUUACAUUCUUCAUCUCAACAACAUCUUGGAAUUCUUGAUAUUAACUAGGAAUACCACUUGACGUCUUUUCACUAUGUGAAAUGGACGUGGCAUAUAUAGCAAAAGAUGACCCUUCUUUGGCUGCAUGCAUGAAAGCUCUUGUCCCUACUAGUAAAGGCUUCGAUAUACUAGACUUAUGUAUUUUCUCUUGAUUAAUAGAAUUUUGAAAUAAACUACUAGAAAAGUUAAGGUUAUGGGAAAUCCAAUCUAUCUGACGGUUCUAUUUUUUUAACCAGGAUAGUAUCAAGGACAAGAAUUCGAUGAAAAAACAAUUUAGACAAGUGAGCCUUCACUCAAAGAAAGGUAACAAAAUAUAAAUAAACAAGUAUGUAUAUUGAAAGAGAAACUGAAACGGCUAUUGCCAAAAGACAAGAAAACUAGAGAUCCUUGAAACUAGACUGGAAGCAAGAAAGGAGUUGACAAGAGUGAAGAAGGCUUCACUCUUGUCUCUAUAUAUACUAUCUAACUAAAGACUACGUGGCGAUGUUCUAUAGGACCUUCAAUAUGUAUUGACUUUGUAGGACAUAUGCCUUGACUUACAAGGCAAGUUCUUCUACAUGUAGGCCACAUAGUUAGUUUGAUCUUCAAGUUAACAACAUGUGUGGCACAUGGCCAACUUGUUGACCACAUUUCUAAUCCAAAAAAGUCAAUUAAAGAUACCUAUGAAGUCAAAGCAGUAUUGUCAUAUUACGUGCUUUCCUGCUCGAGAAUGCGUCGGGCGUCUGGCUGUAGAAGGUAGUAUGGAGAUUCGCCAAUAGUCAAACAGUCUAUCAGUUUUUGACUGUUAGAAUAUAAAUGACUACAAGAAUACAUCAUAAAUCUAUACGGAUGCCCCUUCGACUGCUCGCCGAAGUCCUUUUUGUCCCGACCGAUAGGUCUCUAAACGUUACAGAGAACCCCGAACAACCCAAUUGUUAAUCUUCGAUACCGCUUUGUACUUACAAUCUUGUAUCCACUGACUGUCUUGUUAGAUUAACCCAAUAAAUUUCAUUCACUCCGCAAACUCAAUCCUAUAGACACCCUUUUAAUUCUUCAAUCUCAGACGUAACUCAAUUUCAUAAAACAGUCAAGAGUAAUCAAACCCACUUCAUUGAAAUCCCGAUUCACCAUUACAACACUGACUUCAGCAACGAUUGCCUCUGUCUUCCCAAAACCCUAUGAAGAAAAAAAAUCCAAUUCUCUGUCUUCUUUCUCCACCCAAAGCAUGAAGCUCCUCUCCCUCGAUCUUCAAAAAACCUCCCCAAAAACUUAUUCUCUCCCUAACCUUAUCCUCUAAAUUUCUUCAAUCUUCCGUCUUGGAUCCGGAAUUGGCUCCCACCAUCAGAGCUUAGAUCCAAAAUUGGCUCCCGUCGUCAGAGCUUUCUCCUUCGUUUUUACCUUUAAGAGAUCCAUUUACCGAAAACAACGUUCCCUGAAACGGCACAGAGAAUAGGACAGCCUGAAACAGAAUCGAAAUCCCAUACUCGAGUCCACAUUGAGUCGCCCGACCAAUUCAGGUCUCAUAUUGAGUAAGAUGCCCGUAGUAACCUGGAUGUUCCCAUAAUUGGAUCAAAUUGGUCCUUCGCGUCAGACUGGCUGAGGCCCGUAGUAAGACUUGGAUUUUCCCGUAAUUAGACUGCAUUGGGUUGCCCGACCAAUGCAGGUCUCAUAUUGGGUAAGAGGACCCGGAUUGGAUUCUUGUAAUUGGAUCCUAUUGGCUCUUCGAACCAGGCUCACCCGUUGUGUGAAUUGGUUCUUUCUCUUCAUGCUGACUCUCGUUAUUGGAAUCGAACAGAGCAUUUCAGUAUGCCCCGGCUGACUGUAACGGGGUGACUGAACCUGGCCACUCAGUAUUUGCAUUGGAGUUGGUCGUUGCUCCCAAUAUUCGAGGUAAUUGAACAUUAAUAAAAGUCCCCUUUCUUUAUAUUUUCACGGUAUACUUUUGUUACAACACGACAACGUCUAUGAAGCUUCUAGGAAGCUUCUAUAUUAAAUACUAUAGAAUUAACUUACUUUUACUUAUUUUUACUUACUUCCACCUAUUUGUAUAUGUAAUUACUAGCUUUUAUAAGUAUCUCCGUGACAUUACCCUCCCUUCUAGAGUCGAGUUCCACGAGGAGCGAUCAUCAUAUAUUGAAAAAAUCUAUGAUGCAAUAAAUUGUAUUUGCUACAUACUCUGAUCUUUGUUCUCUUCGAAGAUGAUUGAUAGGACCUCUCAAUCAUCGGUAGUGUCCCAUACCAGGGCAGGAAGACCACCCAGUUAUUUGACUUGCUUAAAAAAAGUUAAAUCAACAGUCAAUGUUGAUUUUAUUACUCGAAGAUGAAAUUGCUCCAGCUUCAAGAGAACCAUUCUUUAUUGCUUAAAAGCAUGCUUUGGAAAAAUCAACACGAUAUAAGAUUGGUGCAGAAACAAACGCUAUCUUCAAAGAUUCAAAACCAACUUCCGCUUCUUGAUUCCAUUGAAGUUUGUCUUUACAAGUCAAACAUGUAAGUGGAGCUACAACUCGAAAGAAGUCUUUGAUGAAGAUUUGAUAGUAGUUGACAAAUCCUAAAAAAAAUUGAACAUCUCUUAUCGUUUUUGAGAUCUUCCAAUCUAUAAUAGUUUGAACUUUCUUAGGAUCCAUCAUAAGUCCAUCAUUUGAAAUGAUGUAACCUAAAAAAUUGACUUGACUAGUGUGGAAUACACACUUUUCUAUCUUGGCAUAGAGUCCUGAAUCUCUUAAUUUUUGUAACACACGACGAAUAUGAAGUUUAUGUUCUUUUGGAUUCUUAGAAUAGAUCAAGAUGUCGUCUAGAUAACAGACCACAAAAUCAUCCAAAAACUCUCAAAAAACAUCAUUCAUUAGAUGUUGAAAAGCUGUUGGUGUAUUUGUAAGUCCGAAAGGUAUGACGUUGUAUUCAAAAUGUCCAUACCUAGUUCGAAACGUAGUCUUUCAUUCAUCCCUUUUUUGAUGCGUACUAGAUUGUAUGCUCCUCAGAGAUCUAUUUUUGUAUAGAUCUUAGCUUAAUUCAGCUGAUCAAGAAGUCCAGAUAUUAAAGGUAGUGGAUACCUGUUCUUGAUGGUAAUCUUGUUGAGUCCUCGAUAAUCAACACGCAUCUGCAAUGAUCUAUCUUUUUUCUUCACAAAUAGAAUUGGAGCUCCUAUCGGAGAUUUAGAAUGGCAUAUGAAAUUCUUGGCUAGAUUUUCUUCAAUAUACUCCUUGAGUUCAGUCAACUCAAUUUGUAAUAAAUUGUAGAUUGGUCCAAAUGGUAGUUGUGCUCUUUUUUGAAGGUCAAUUGAGCAAUCAUAGGAACAAUGUUCCGGGAGUGUAUUCGCUGUCAUAUUACAUGCUUUCCUGCUCAAGAACGCACCGGGCGUCUGGCUGUAGAAGGUAGUAUGGAGAUUCACUAAUAUUCAAGCAGUCUAUCGAUUUUUGAUUAUUGGAAUAUAAACAAUUAUACGAAUAUAUCGUAAAUCUAUAUGGAUGUCCUUCGACUGCUCACCGAAAUCCUUUUUGCCCCAGCCGGUAGGUCUCUAGAUGCUACAGAGAACCCCAAACAACUCAAUCUGCUAAUCUCCGAUAUUGCUUUAUACUCACGACCUUGUAUCCACUGACUGUCUUGUUAGAUUAACCCAAAAAAUUUCAUUCACUCCGCAUACUCAAUCCUAUAGACACCCUUUUAAUUCUUCAAUCACAGACGUAACUUCAAUUUCAUAAAACAGUCACGAGUAAUCACACCCACUUCAUUAAAACCUCGAUUCACUAGUACAACACAUCGACUUUCAGCAAUGAUUGCCUUCGUCUUCCCAAAAAAUCCUAUAAAGAAAAAAAAAUCCCCCCAUUCUCUGUUUUUUUAUCUCCCAAAGCAUGAAGCUAGCUUUCUUCCCUUAAAAACCCUGAUUCUUCCCUCUUUCAAAUCCUAACCUCUGGAUUUCUUCAAUCUUCUGUCUUGAAUCCGAAAUUGGCUCCGCUGUCAGAGCUUUCUACUCCAUUUUAUACCUUUUAAAAGAUUCUUUUUCUGGAAACAACGUUCCUUGAAAUAGCACAGAGAACAGGACAGCCUAAAACGGAAUCAAAAUCCCGUAAUCGAGACCACAUUGAGUCGCCCGACCAAUUCAGGUCUCAUAUUGACUAAGAGGCCCGUAGUAAGACCUGGAUGUUCCCGUAAUUGGAUCAAAUUGGUCCUUCACAUCAGGCUCGCUCGAUCAUCAAUUUAGUCCUUUCAAUUUUGUUGACUUCCACUACUAGACUCGAACGGAGCAUUUCGUUACUGGUAAGUAUGCCCUGACCGACUAUGAUGGGGUCUCUGAACUAGCCCUUGAAUAUUGGCACUGAAAUCGGUCAUUGCUCCCAAUAUUCAAGGUAAUUGAACAUUAAUAAAAGUCCCCUUUCUUUAUAUUUUCAUGGUAUACUCGUGUUACAACACGACAUCCACUCCCUUUGAGCCUGUGCAUCCUCCGUUAUGCACCAAUUUACCCAAUUACUGUUUGAUUUAUAAUAUAUUCUCUAUGUCUUUGUCCAGUUCGUCUUCGUCAUCUUCAUUAUCCAAAUCACAUUCAUCUUCUUGCUGCGGAAUCUCUAUAACUUCAUUAAGGUCUUCCAUAUUCAUUUCUGCAUUUCUUUGUUUAAACAAUUUCACUCUCUUCACUGUAAUUGGUAUUUUUAAUCUUCUGCCAUCUAACUCCCGUAAUGAGUAAGUCACAUUAUCAUGAACAGUUGUUACCACAUACGGUCUAAAUCAACGUUUUGAAAACUUUCGUAAAGUGCUAUAUUGGUUGUCCAGACUACCAAUAUUCAAUCACCUUCUUCAAUUGCUUUAAGUCUCAAUCGAUGUUGCUUAUCAAAUCGUGCCUUGUUUUGUAACCUUGCUCUUUUUAACCUUUUCAAUGCUAUUUGCACAUCUUCCGAUCAUUGCUCCAAUUGUCGAAUUCUAAUAGCCAGAAGUUCUUCUCUUGUCAAUCCAUCUUUCCAUGGUAGCAUACUCCAAGUAAGUACCUUUUCUUCAAUCGGCAUAAUUGGUUUUCGACCUAUCAUAAGUUCUAUUGGCAUAUAUCCUGUCACUGAACUAUGUGUUGUUCGAUCAGCCCAUAAUACAAAUGACAAAAGUUGUGGCCACUCUCUAACUUUCCCAUUACAAGCUUUAACUAAUGCUUUCACAAUCGGUGGGUGACCAUGUUUGCUUUUUACAUUCUCUUCCGAAUUAUAAGCAAAAGUCAGUGAUAGUUUAACUCCACAUCUUUCAAAGAACUUACGAGCUUCUUGUGAAUUUAAUUCUCCAUGAUUUGCAAUGAUUUUUCCUACGCAUCCGUAGCAGCAAAUGACAUCUUCAAGCAAAAACCUACAAAUCCCCUCUGUAGAUUUUGUCCUCAAUGCUCUUCCUUCUACUUGAUUUGAUAAAUCUUCACGAGCUAAGACCAAAUAUCUCAUCUGCUACAAUCCAAUUGGCAUAAUAACCAAAUCAACAACCCAUUUAAAAUGAAUAGCUAGAGGAUACAUAGGAUGAAAACCAUCUCGAUGUCAGAUAUUAGAAUACGAUUGACAGAUUUCACAUGACUCUACAAAUGAGAGCACAUCUCGAUACAUAUUUUUCUACCAAUAUCGUUCCUUGAGUUUAGCAAAAGUAGCUCAGAUUCCUCUAUGCCUUGCCCAUAAACUAUCAUGAAAUUUCUUUAAUAAUUUUAGUUUUUCUUCUUUUUUGCCUAUCACUCGUUGUGGCAUCUCAAUUCCUUUCUUCGGUCUCUUCCAUAAGAAUCCAUCUCGAAGCAAAAAUCCAUAUGCUUUUUUUCUUAUUUGUUUGAAUUUUUUUGUAGACCAAUUCCCCUACUUACUCAAGGUAUUCAAGUAAUGACCAAUAUCCAAUAAUUCUCCUUCAUAAGAUUCUUCAAGAAAUAGCUUGUCUUCUUUGUUGAGAUUCGAUAUUGAAUAGAAUUUCAAUCCGACGUCAUCAAUGUCUUCAACCAUUUUGUCCUCCCUCUCGUAUCUUGCUCGAGAUAAUAUGUCUGCUACUAAAUUAUCCUUCCCAGUAACAUGCUUAAAUUUUGGAUUUAGUGACUUAAUAUAAGCAAUCCAUCUCAACAUUGCAAUAUCCGGCGUUGAACAGUUAGUAAUCAUUCCGAGCAAUGGCAAGUAAUCUGUUUUAAUUACUACUACUGCCCCAAUCAAAUAGUACUUUUGAGCUUUCAUAGCUAAAAUAACUCCCCAAAGUUCUCUUUUGACUGGCGAAUAUGUACGCUGACGAAUACUUAAAACUUUAGCUCCAAAUCGAAUUGCAAAUCUAUUCCCACUUGAAACAUCUUGACCCACAGCCCAUCCAAUGGCAAUUAGAUUAGUGUCCACAGUAAGAAUCACUGGUCUAUUGCACUUAUAAUCAACCUUCCUCAAUAUUAGACGUGACAUCAAUAAUUUCUUCAAUCUUUGCAUUGCCUGAAUAUGCCUUUCUUCCCAAUUAAAUCGGUAGCCCUUGCGUAACAGUUUAUAUAAUGGAUCCGCUAUGUGAGCAUAAUGAGGGAUCCAGAUUCGAUAAAAUACACAUGCACCUAAAAACCUGCAAAUCUUUGUUAAAGAAUCACAAUCCUCUUUCAUCCUUCCAAUUGCAUCAACUUUAAUCGGAUCUCGUUUUCUUCCAUAAGAUCCACAUAAAUGUCCAACAAUUACAACCUCUUGUAUUCCAAAAUACGGACUUCAUACCCGAUAAUGUAAGAUGAACUUCUCCAAGCCGAGUUAAAAUCUUUUCACAAUCUUGUAUAUGAUCAACAACAUAUUUGCGACACCCCUUCUUAUCUAAAGUUUCAUCCUUGUCUCCUUCUCUGCACCCUUUUAUAGGAAUAUCAUCCAGAAAAGGCAUAGUCUUUUCCGAAAUAAAAUCUCUCAAUACCAUAUUCAUCCCAUUCAUCAUAUGCACAACUGAGUUGGUCGCGCCUUGAGAAAGAGUGUAUAUUCUAACCAAUCCAAGUGGUGUCCUCAUCGUUGUCAUAUCUCUACUUCCUUUAGUAAGUUGAAAUUGAUCAUAACAUGAAUACAAGUCACCCAUUGAAUAGAUCGUCCUUCCAGCAAACGCCUCAGCAAAUUCAUCCAUAAUAGGUCCAAUUCCUGCAUUUCUCACAAUUACUGCAUUCAUCGGUUGCAUAUCUUGAAUAAAUUGUAGUGACUCAUUCUUCAUAGGUACCGUAAAUCAUCGACUAGAAUACGGUGCAAAUGAGGGUUCCAAUAUUUUCAUCUUCAUCUUUUCUUUUAAUAGUUCCAUCAAUUUAGGUAAAUAUGCCCUCGAUACUGGAAUCGAUCUUAGAUUUCAAGGUACAUGCGGUACAGUGAAGAUAACCAUAAGUGUUAUAAUAUUCGGAUUCACACACCCACUUUCAUAAAAUUCGAAGGUAAACGAUCUACCUUUUUAGCCAACAUCUUUUUGAAGCAAGUAAAUUCUUCUGGCAAUAAAGAACCAUCAGAACCAAUCUUCAAUUCUUCAAAAGUUUCUUUAGUAAACUGAUGUCCAAUACUCAUUGGAUCUCUUAAACUUGCUUCUUUUGAUGCUUCUCCCAUUUGUUCCUUAGAAUCUUCUAGAAAUGGUCCAGCAACAGGCUUUACCUUUUUAUCUGCCGUUUUAUAUCUCGUCUCUACAGUGACUUCUGGUGCUUGAAAAGAUUCAAGUAUGGUAUAAACCUCUCUUGAAUGAAUCUCAACAAUCUUAUCAUUAUCCCCUAACCCAAUAGAUGUAAUCAAUUCUAAUGAAUCUUCCAGUCCAUUUUCUUCAUAAACACCUAAAAUCCUCUCAUCACCUUGCAAUGUAUCUAACUUGCGUAAUUCUCCUUCAAUAUUAUAUAAUCUUUUUCUUUCUUUUCUUUUAAAAUCAUUAACUUUCUUAUACAUAAUAUUUCCAUUCUCCAAAAUACCAAUAAAACUCGCAUCAAAGGCACCUUCAUCUCGCGAGAGUACCUCCUCUUUUGUACCUCCAUAAUCUUGCUUUAUAGUGGUACCUCCCCAAAAUCCUUAAAUCCUUCAACAAUCUUUGGCAAUGGUUUCUCCCUCAACCUAUCUGAUUGCAUUCAUGGUUAGGAGGUACUGUUAGAAAUUAUACAGCUUUUCUCCCAUCUUCGCUACGUACCCUUGCAUAAGCAAAACCAUCGUCAAGUACUUUUAUUUCCAUCUGUGUUUCCAUAAUAUAAGGUUGUUCUAAAAUCAACGGAUAAGACGUUGUAUCUUGAACAAAGAAAUGUUGUUUCGUCGCAACAUCCUCAAUCCGAAUUUUGACAUCUGGACAAGUUCCAUAUAAUUCGCCCCGUGUGUUAUUAGCUGCUCGUAUUGCCCAUCCAUGUUCCAUAUCAAUUGGCCAUUUUUGCUUCUUAUAAAGAUCUUUAGACAUGAGAUUUAUUUCAGAACCAUGGUCAACUAAAGCAACAAUUGGUUCUUCUAUAUCUCCUACUUUCACCAAUACCUCAGUAGUUAUCCUUGUCCAAUGCUUUCGAGUAUAAUGACUCAAAGUUUCCAUUUCAUAUCACUAUAAUCUUCAAAAUGUACUCGUUGAUUAUAUCCAUUCUUUUCAUUUGUUGGUUGCUUGUAACCAAUAUCAACCUCUUCUUUAUCUUUAUAUAUUCUUGCAUCAAUAGCAUGACUCAUUCUAGUUUCGCCCAUUAAUUACCUCUUUCGCUCAAUGCUCUCAAUGAUGACAUCAUGAAACUCCUUCUUUGCAAUUCUCAAAACUUCUUUUAAGAUGAAUUCCACCUUAGCGUUUAAUAUACGUUCUUCUAACAUCCCUUUCAAAUUUGUUGCCACUUCAAUGUCAGAAAGUAGCAUAUAAGCAAUUGAUUUGCCCUUAUCUUUUGUCUCUCUUGUUUUUUCUUCUAAUGAUGCUGAGGUAUCCUUUAUAAGUAAUUCUUGUGAAGCUGCCUCCCGAGCCUUGUCUCCUCGAGUUUGCCUCUUAGAAGAAUUUCCUUCUCUCAUAUUAUUAAAAUUUCCUCGUCUCUUAGCAAUAUAUGCAUGAACUGAAAGAGACUCAACAAGAUCCUCCCAACCUGUUGCACCUCAUAUUGUAGCUGCAGUCCUCAAUAACCCUUUUCAAGGUAAUUUCCCUUCUUGUAUUGUAGAAACGGUAGAAGCCCAAAACUCACUAGUUUCUAUACUUCCACCAAGGUCAUCAUCUACUCUAGUACCAUAACUUGCACUUUUCGUGCUGUUGUUUCAUGCUCCUUGAAGUAAUCUUGAACUAAUGCUUUCAUUCCUCCCUUGCCAAAAUUGGUUUGAAGAAGAUCCUCCCUUUCUUUUAAUGCUACCUUUCCAUCUUUCCAGCAAAUAAUUCCUUGCCGUAUCAUAUUAUUAAAUUCAUUGCAAUCUUUCCUAGUGUGUGAAGCGUCAUCACACCAAAUGCAUCUUUGUACAUAUCCUUGUUUUGAAACAUUCUUCGAGUUGUUUGUAGAAGUAUUCUCUUCAAGUCUUGCCAAUUUGAUUUGAAGAUCUCGCAUUCUUCGUAUAAUUUCUUCCAUUCCCAUAUCUACUUUCUUUGAUAACGAUGUCAAAGGUUGAACUGUAGGCAUUGUUGGUGGUGUUGUACGUAUUGGAGCUUUAGGUGCUUGUAUUAUUUUUGGAAUAUUGCUCCUAUCCUUCAUCUUUUUCUUUUUGUAAGCGAUCCCACCGCAUCUUCAACGUUCUUUCACUUUGUUGUCAAUCCUUCAUCUUCUUCUUUGUCUUCAAAAAGGGUUUCUAAUUUCCCUUACAAUUCUCCAUCAGCAGCUUGAAGAAAUAGAUCAACUUUGUUCGGCUCCAAUGUCAAUUUUUCUUCCUUCGAUAAUUGAGAGUACUGCCUCUCAAAUUCCCUUAAUAGCUAUGUUGCUUGCAAAUUCUUUUUAGGCCAUUCAAUCCAUUCUAGAAACAGCUUCUUAAUAACUUGAUCAGCAUCUUCCAAGAAAUAUUUGUCUUUCAAUGCAUGUAAAAAAACCUCCCAUGAAUUUCCAUAACGAUCCGUAAUCGAUGUAAUAUGGUCUUUAUCUCCGGUAUCAUGGCAAGUCCAAAUAAUUCAACCAUUUUCUUUUGAAAAACCCGAUUUAAUUCCAUUUCAUGAACAUAACAUCUUAAAUAUCUUGAAAUAUUCCUUCCAUCAAAUUGAUCAAUUUUAUUAACCACUGCUUGAAAUGCUUUGAUUUCCAAAGCUUCCUUUCGAUCAUUGCUUUGCUGUUGCUGCAUUGAUAAUGAGAAGGCCUGAAACAUACUAGCAAUAGAUGGAUCCAUGUGCAUACCUUGUCCUUUAGAAGAACCUCCACCAGAAACUCCUCCCAAAGAUCCUUCAAAAUUUUUAUUUUCAUUCUCCAUAAAAAUAAAAAUAAAAUCAAACAAAAUCCAAUACCUUCCACUUCAAGCUUUCAUGUCGAGUUCACCACUUAUGUUGUAUUACGUGCUUUCCUGAUCGAGAAUGCACCAAGCGUCUGGUUGUAGAAGGUAGUAUAGAGAUUUGCUAAUAUUCAAGCAGUUCAUCGAUUUUUGACUGUUGGAAUAUAAACAAUUACAAGAAUAUAUCGUAAAUCUAUACGGAUGUCCUUUGACUGCUCACCGAAAUCUUUUUUGUCCUAGUCGGUAGGUCUCUAGACGCUACAGAGAACCCCGAACAACCCAAUCUACUAAUCUCCGAUAUCGCUUUAUACUCACAACCUUGUAUCCACUGACUCUCUUAUUAGAUUAACCCAAAAAUUUUCAUUCACUCCGCAUACUCAAUCCUAUAGACACCCUUUUAAUUCUUCAAUCACAGACGUUGUCGUGUUGUGACACGACUAUAUGGUAAAAAUAUGACAAAAAAAUGAUAUUUUAAUUAAUAUUCUAUUAUCAUGGUUCAACAAGCAUUCAAUAUAUUUUACAAGGCUUUUAUAAAAGCCUCUAAUCCUAUUUUCUUCACUUAAUAGCUAGUAGAUAAAAACUAGUUAGUAAUUUUACCUUCUAGGCUGUAGUAACUUUUUUAUUGCCUUAGAAAGGCCAUAAAAUGGUAAAGAAAGGAUAAAAAGGAUAAUUUAUUAGCAUGGUUGAUACUAGGGUUAAGUUGAGGGUAGGAUCGGGCUAUAAAACCACUAGGAUAGAUUAGAUUGAUAUCCGGGGGUCGGCCGGAUAUGAGACAGGGUCGAAAUCCAACCUCCAGCCACUAAAACGGCCGAUUAGGGCAAAAUACGGGGGUUUUUUCAGAUCGGGUUUUUGGAUCGAAGAGCUAGCUUCAAGCUCUUUUCAAGGUCACUAAUUUGGUUUCAUUAGAAUUUGUGAGGGGAGAGCAAUCGCUGCUCAAAGUCAAUGUUUAUUUUGGUGUUUCGGAUUUUAUAUAAAACAUUGAUGGUUUGCAUUCUCAAUUGGUUUGUGCAAGUCGUGUAGCAUCUAUGGGUCAAAAUUUGGUAUUAUCUUGAUAGUUGGGUGUGCUAAGUGUAUACAAAAAUUUGUGUUAAUCUAACGAUGCAAUCAAGAGAUAUCUGGGUUUUAGUACAAAGGGUUGUCGGAAGUUGGCAGUCUAGGGUUGGAUAGGGUUUCUGUGAUAUCUGAAGAUCUACUAGUUGGAUCGACGUAUUUUUUGGCUUAGUAAUAGAAGAUUUGGAGAUCAAGCAGCUAUUCAAUUUUGAGCUGGAAUUAACGGUUGACAAAGGAGAAAUCACUUCUGGAGUUUCUACAUCAAAUUUCAAGGUUGCGGCCAAGUGUCAUCAGUGCGGUUUUUGGGCGUUUUCUUGCAAUCUGUAAGUUGAGUUGGGUUGAAAUUUUUUGAGCAUAUAGAAGGCUUAUACUGGUAUUUAGAUGCAAAAUUUCAUACUAAGUGGACAGUUGGAUCAAAAGUUACAGCUUGUCAAAGCUCACUGGCUAGGGUUAGGGCUUGUUAAGAAAAAUAAAAAUAACUUAAUUAUAAAAGAAAUAAAGCAAUUGGAAUAUUGUAUGGUUAAAAUGACUAUGAGGAGUGUUUUUAAAUACUUGGAAAUUGAUAUUGCAAUUAUAUUCUUCAUACAUGGAUAAAAUCUAUUACGAUUUCUUUGUUAUUUACAAAAACAACUAUACCUUCCACAGCCAGAUACCCAGUGUAUUCCUGAACAAAACAACACGUAAUACGACAACGUAACUUCAAUUUCACAAAAUAGUCAAGAGUAAUCACACCCACUUCAUUAUAACCCCAAUUCAUUAGUAUAACACAUCGACUUUCAGCAACGAUUACCUUCGUCUUCCCAAAAAAUCCUAUAAAGAAAAAAAAAAAAAUCCCCCCAUUCUCUGUUUUUUUUUUCCCCGAAGCAUGAAGCUAGCUUUCUUUCCUUAAAAAUCCUGAUUCUCCCCUCUUUCAAAUCCUAGCCUCUGAAUUUCUUCAAUCUUCCGUCUUGGAUCUGGAAUUGGCUCCGCAGUCAGAGCUUUCUCCUCUAUUUUAUACCUUUUUAAUAGGUUCUUUUUCUAAAAACAACGUUCCCUGAAAUAGCACAGAGAAUAGGACAGCCUGAAAUGGAAUCAAAACCCCCGUAAUUGGGACCACAUUGAGUCGCCCGACCAAUUCAGGUCUCAUAUUGGCUAAGAAGCCCAUAGUAAGACCUGGAUGUUCCCGUAAUUGGAUCAAAUUGGUCUUUUGCGUCAGGCUCGUUUAAUCAUCGAUUUAGUCCUUUCAAUUCUGUUGACUUCCACUAUUGGACUCAAACGGAGCAUUUCGUUAUUGGUAAGUAUGCCUUGACCGACUGUGAUGGGGUCUCUGAAUUGGCCCCUCAAUAUUGACACUGGAAUCAAUUGUUGCUCCCAAUAUUCGAGGUAAUUGAAUAUUAAUAAAAGUCCCCUUUCUUUAUAUUUUCACGAUAUACUCAUGUUACAAUAUGACACCGCAUAUUUUUUUCGAAUACAUCUUGAAAUUCUUCAUAUUGGCUUGGAAUGCCACUUGAAGUCUUUUCACCAUUAGAAACAGGUGUGGCAUAAAUAAUAUAUGGUGAUUCUUUCAUAGCAGUAUGCAAGAAAGCUUUUCCACCUAUAAAUACACGUUUAAUUGAACUAGACUUAUGACUCUCUACUUAAUUAACUACACUAUUAGUUAUACUUUUAGAGAAAGUAAGAGUUUGGAAAAUCCAAUCUAUUUGAGGGUUGUAUUUUUCUAACCACGAUAAACCUAAAAUGACUGGAUUAGAGGAAAAUCUAAUGAUAUUAAAUACUACAAAAUUAUUAUGACCAUUGAUUAUUACUUCUAUAGAAAGGGUUUCAUAAGUAAUAUUUCCAGAAGACAAUGGACGACCAUCUAUGACUUCUACAUAAACAGGUUUAGUUUUCUUUACUAAAGAUAUGUCAUGUCUUAUAGUAAAUUCUUCAUCUAAAAAACACGCUGAGGCUCCUGAAUCUAACAAGGCAAAGACUUUGUAAUAUUUAGGUCCUAAAAUAACAUUUAUUGUAAAACAAGGAGAGGGCUUUGAGAGAAUAAGACCUUUACUAGAUGUUGUGUAAGGUUCCAGCCGCACGGUCCCUAUUAUAGCUGGACAAACUUGUUCUCUAUCAUAUUAUCUUCUUUCACAGCCAUACUCUUCAUUUUGUGAUUUUGUCAUUUCUUUGGAUAAUGUUAAGCAGUGUGCUUUGGUUUUCCACAAUAUAAACAUAAUCCUUCUUGACGACGACGAGUCUUUUCUUGCUCAGUAAGAGGUUUGAAAUGUACUGUAUCAGUUUACAUAUCCUCUACUUCCGAAUGUAUGUGUUGAAGAGGUAUUGGUCUUCCCAUUGAAUUAUAGUAACGUUGAGGUCCACUUGUAUGAUUCUCAGAUCGAAAUUCAAAAAGGUGAUUGUCGCACUUCACAACAAAGUCAAUUACUUUACUCAAUGUUUGAGGAUCAGAUAAGUUGAGCAUUAAUUUUUUUACCUCAUAUUGUAAUCUAUAGAGAAAUUGGCUAAUAAGUGUAGCAUCAUUCCACUUGAUAUCAAUUGCAAGUUGUCAAAAUUGUAAAGCAUAUAACGUUACUCAUCGAUUGUCUUGUCGUAAAAUAUGGAUCUUAUUGGUUACAACACAAAUUACAUCAUGUUCUCCAUACAUGGAUCGAAACUCCACUAGAAAAGCCUCUAGAUUAUCCAAUAUUGGAUCUCGUCAUUCAAAAAAAGAUGAAAACCACGAUAGUGCUCAAUCUGAAAGAAGCAUACCAAUGAAUCUAACUUGCGAUCCUGGAGUUAGGUAGCUUUGGGAUUGAAGUUCAAUCACAAGUUACACUUGAUUGAUAAAUCCUUGAAACUUGGAUCUAGUGCCAUCAAACUUCUCGAGUAGGGCAAUUCUUGGUUCUCUAAUACUGGAAGGGUGUUCCACCAUAGGAAAAAGCACAUGGUUUGGUGCAAAUGUUGAAGCAGCUCCAACCAUUUCUACAUCUUCACUUCCUGCCAAUCUUGUUGUUUCUUGUGGUGGUAAAUUGAGUUGAUGCAUUGCAAGCAUUAACUUCCUUAAUUGCUAUUAUAUUUGUGCCAUUGCAUUCUUCAUUUCAACAAGUUCUGUCAUGAUAACACUUAGAAAAGAGAAGAUGUCUAAUAUCGCUCAAGACAAAUAGAAGAGAGGACUUGAGAACAAAGAAAAUACUAAGGACAAUAUCAGUUUAGAAGAGGGUAAUCCACAACUUCUAAUAUGCUUAUAUCUUAUCAAGAAAAAGAGGUAAUCCAUUCUUAAUCAAGAUUAGACAAAGCUCUGAUAUUGUAGAUAUACUCUUAUCAAUGUGUCAAGGACAAGAACUCGAUGAAAAAACAAUUUAGACAAGUGAGCCUUCAUUCAAAGAAAGAUAAAAAAAUAUAAAUAAACAAGUAUGUAUAUUGAAAGAGAAACUGGAAUGGCUAUUGCUAAAAGACAAGAAAACUAGAGACCCUUGAAACUAGACUGGAAGCAAGAAAGGAAUUGACAAGAGUGAAGAAGGCUUCACUCUUGUCUCUAUAUAUACUAUCCAACUAGGGACUAUGUGGUGAUAUUCUAUAGGACCUCCAAUAUGUGUUGACUUUGUAGGAUACAUGCCUUGACUUACAAGGCAAGUUUUUCUAUGUGUGGGCCACAUAGUAAGCUUGAUCUUCAAGCUAACAACAUGUGUGGCACAUGGCCAACUUGUUGACCACGUUUCUAAUCCAAAAAGUCAAUUAAAGACACCUAUGAAGUCAAAGCAGUAUUUAUGAAGCUUCUAACAAGCUUCCAUAUUAAAUACUAUAGAAUUAACUUAUUUUUACCUACUUUUAUUUACUUCCACCUAUUUGUAUAUGUAAUUACUAGCUUAUAUAAGUAUGUCCGUGAUAGAUAGUUCUAAAAUGAUUAGAUUCAAAGGAGAUCGUAUCAUAUUAAAUAUUACUACACUAUUAUGAUCUUUAAUUACUACAUCUAAAGGAACAGUCUCAUGGAUAACAUCACCAAAAGACAACGAACGACCAUCUAUGACUUCCACAUGUACGGGUUUGAUUUUCUUGACUAAUGAUAUUUCUUGUUCUUUGACAAAGCUUUUUUCUAUAAAACAAGCUGAGGUUCUUGAAUCUAAUAAUGCAAAGACUUUAUGAUUUUUGGAUCCUAAACAGACAUCUAUUGUAAAAUAAGGUAAGGGAUCUAAAGAGAGAAUAGGACCUUGAUUAGGUAUUGCACAUUGUUUGAGUCGUACGGUCCCUAUUGUAGCUAGAGGAACUCAUUUUCCAACACAUUAUCUUCUUUUGCAAUCGUACUCCUCAUUUUGUGAUUGUGUUGCUUCCUUCGACAAUAUUGAGCAGUGUGUUUAGCUUCUCCGUAAUAUAGAAAUAAGCCCUCUUUAUGUUGUCGAGUUUUUUCUUGUUCCAUGAGGGGUUUGAAAUAUACCGUAUUAAUUUGCAUUGGCUCUGGCCUUGAUAGAAAGGUUUUCAAAAACUUAGAAGGUAUUGCCAUGACUUGUCUUGUUCCUCUUCAGCCAUUUUUUUGUUCUUGAUGUCUUUCAAAUAAACGAUUAUGACAUGCAAUAGCUUGAGCAAUGAAUUAUUUUAAAGAAUUUAUUUUUGGCAUUAUCAAUAACAAAUCUUUGAUAUUAUCCUUUAAUCCAUAGCAAAAUUGAUUGAUUAAGGCUUUAUCAUUUCAGUCCACAUCACAAGCAAGACUUUGGAAUUUAGUAGCAUACGUGGUGGCUGAACGUGAUCCUUAUCGUAGUGAUACAAGCUUGAUCUCUGCUAUCCUUUUUUCAUCAUUUUUUCCAAAUAUAGCCAUAAAUACUUUCAAGAAUGAAUUCAAAUUAUAGAGUAGUUGUGAAUCUUUUUCCAUCAAAGGUACAAACCAAGAGAGAGCACUUCCAGAUAGAAGUGUACCUAUGAAUCCAACUUGAGUAAAUCCAUCAGAGUAUUGGAAAGGAUGCAACCUUAAGUAGAGUUUAACUUGUUGUAAAAACCCUCAAAAUCUUGAUCUUGUUUCGUCAAACUUUUCAGGCAUACUAAUUCUUGCCUCCCUCGAGCUUGUAGAAGCAAAACUCCCAAAAUUUGGUUGCGAGGCUAAUCAACUUGUUUCCUUCAACUUCACAAUUUCUUGGCGUAGACUCUAAAUUUCUUCCAUAAUAAUAGGAAUAGUGCUUCCAUGGUUGGUAUUGGUGAUGCGUGAAAUUUCAGUCCUAAGAAUGUUGACAAGCUCAUAAAGAUCUAUAAUAGUUACAAAUUUAUUUUCACUUCCUCAAAGUAUAGCAUCCAUGAUUUUUCCUUCCAUAGAUAACUCAAACAAAUUCAAAAGUUAAAUAAGAGGAGGAUAAUCUGCAACCUCUAAAAAUAAAUUCUACAAAGAGGGCUAAUCCACUCUCUUUAACGAAAAGAUCAAUGUUAGAAAACAAGAUUUUUUGUUUAAAGGUGGAUAGUCUGCAACCUUCAAAAUACAAUAAUGGAAGUAGAAUAAUUCACUCACUUCUAGAACAAGACAGAAACAAUAUAUUAGUACUCUUGUCAAACUAUCAAGGAUGUGAAUACCAAAGAAAGAUAAUCUCAAUACACACUUGUGUCACUCAAAAAUACUUAGAAAUUACUCAAAGGUGAUAAUAUAUUGAACUAGAAUGGCUAUUGCCAAAGACUAGAAAACAUGAUGACUCUUGAAACUAGAUUAGAAAUAAGAAAGGAGUUGACAAGAGUGAAGAAGGCUUCACUCUUAUCUCUAUAUAUACUAUCUAACUAAGGGCUACGUGGUGACGUUCUAUAGGACCUCCAAUAUGUAUUGACUGUGUAGGAUACUUGCUUUGACUUAUAAGGCAAGUUUUUCUACAUGUGGGCCACAUAAUUAGCUUGGUCUUCAAACUAACAACAGGUGUGGCACAUGUCCAACUUGUUGACGACGUUUCUAAUCCAAAAAGUUAAUUAAAGACCCCUAUGAAGUCAAAGCAACGUCUAUGAAGCUUUUAGGAAGCUUUCAUAUCAAAUACUAUAGAAUUAACUUAUUUUUAUCUACUUUUAUUUACUUCUAUUUAUUUAUAUAUAUAAUUACUAGCUUAUAUGAGUAUGUCUGUGAAAGUUAUUGAGGUUUAAAUCUGUUGUAGAAAUUACUAGGAUUUGGUUAGGAUUUUAUUUAGGGCUAGGAUUUUAUUAGGGUUUGAUUUAGGAUUAGGAUUUGGUUUAGGAUUUAGGAUUAGGAUUAAAGUUUGGUUAGGAUUUGAUUUAGGGUUAAGGUUUGGUUAGGAUUUGAUUAAGGUUUGAUUUAGGAUUAGGAUUUGGUUUAGGAUUUAGGAUUUAGUUAGAGUUUGAUUUAGGAUUAGGAUUUGAUUUAGGAUUAGGGAUUGAUUAGGGUUUGAUUUAGGAUUUAAAAUUAGAAUUAAGAUUUGAUUAAGAUUUGAUUUAGAUUUAAGAUUUGGUUAAGAUUUGAUUAGGAUUUGAUUUAGAAUUUGAUUAGGAUUUCAUUUAGGAUUAGGAUUUACUUACGAUUUGUUUUAAGAAUAGGAUUUGGUUUAGGAUUUAGGGUUUGAUUAGGAUUUGAUUUAAGAUUUAGGAUUUGGUUUAGGAUUUAGGAUUUAGUUAGAGUUUGAUUUAGGAUUAGGAUUUGAUUUAGGAUUAGGGAUUAAUUAGGGUUUGAUUUAGGAUUUAAAAUUAGAAUUAAGAUUUGAUUAAGAUUUAUUUUAGAUUUAAGGUUUGGUUAAGAUUUGGUUAGGAUUUGAUUUAGAAUUUGAUUAGGAUUUCAUUUAGGAUUAGGAUUUACUUACGAUUUGUUUUAAGAAUAGGAUUUGGUUUAGGAUUUAGGAUUUGAUUAGGAUUUGAUUUAAGAUUUAGGAUUUGAUUUAGGAUUUAGGAUUUAGUUAGAGUUUUAUUUAAGAUUAGGAUUUGAUUUAGGAUUAGAGAUUGAUUAGGGUUUGAUUUAGGAUUUAAAAUUAGAAUUAAGAUUUGAUUAAGAUUUGAUUUGGAUUUAAGAUUUGAUUAAGAUUUGGUUAAGAUUUGAUUUAGAAUUUGAUUAGGAUUUCAUUUAGGAUUAGGAUUUACUUACGAUUUAUUUUAAGAAUAGGAUUUGGUUUAGGAUUUAGGGUUUGAUUAGGAUUUGAUUUAAGAUUUAGGAUUUGGUUUAGAAUUUAGGAUUUAAGGUUUGAUUAGGGUCUAGUGAGGAUUUGAUUUAGGAUUUAGGAUUUUAUUUGAGUUUGUUUAGGAUUUAAGAUUUGGUUAAUUUUUGGCCUAAAGUUUGAAUUAAGUCCAAUAAGAUUUUAACUAGGAUUAAAUUAAGAUUUAAUUGAGAUGUAUUUGAAAUAUGUUUGUAAUCAUUCUAAUUUUUCUUUAGGAUUUUUCAUUGUUUCUUUGGAAUUCCUUUGAGGUUUUUCUAAAUUUGAUUAAAGCUUAUUUAGCAUUGUUAGUGUUCUAUUAGAAUUAUAAUUUUGUUGUUGUAAUUUCUUUUCUACCUUCCACAACCAUGUGCCUAAAGCAUUCUCAAGCAAGACUUCACAUAUUACAACAUCAAAAAAUGAAUUUCUCUAGCUACAAUAGGGACCGUGUGGCUGGAAUCAUAUGUAAUACUUAGUAAAGGUCCUAUCCUCUCCUCAAAUCCCUCACCUUGUUUUAUAAUAGAAGUAUAUUUAGGACCUAAUAAUCACAAAGUCUUUGCCUUGUCAGAUCUAAGAGCCUCGGCAUAUUUUAUAGAUGAAGAUUUUGCCAAAAAUCAAAAAAUAUCUUUGAUGAAGAAAGUUAAAUCCGUACAUAUAGAAGU
rnacentral:lncRNA from 1 species